rnacentral:sRNA from 1 species
UGACAGGCUAGGAUGGCCCCCGAAAAGCCGCAACCCUGGCGGCCUGCCUGUCAGUUUUCAUUGCAGGG